UACGUAGGGGGCAAGCGUUGUCCGGAUUUAUUGGGCGUAAAGAGCGUGUAGGCGGCCACGCAGGUCCGUUGUGAAAACUGGAGGCUCAACCUUCAGACGUCGACGGAAACCGUGUGGCUAGAGUCCGGAAGAGGAGAGUGGAAUUCCUGGUGUAGCGGUGAAAUGCGUAGAUAUCGUAAGGAAGACCAGUGGCGAAGGCGGGUCUCUGGACAGUUCCUGACGCUGAGGCACGAAGGCCAGGGGAGCAAACCGGGGAUUAGAAAACCCCUGGUAG
rnacentral:rRNA from 1 species